GAUGAACGCUGGCGGCGUGCCUAAUACAUGCAAGUCGAGCGAACGGACGAGAAGCUUGCUUCUCUGAUGUUAGCGGCGGACGGGUGAGUAACACGUGGAUAACCUACCUAUAAGACUGGGAUAACUUCGGGAAACCGGAGCUAAUACCGGAUAAUAUUUUGAACCGCAUGGUUCAAAAGUGAAAGACGGUCUUGCUGGCACUUAUAGAUGGAUCCGGGCUGCAUUAGCUAGUUGGUAAGGUAACGGCUUACCAAGGCAACGAGGCAUAGCCGACCUGAGAGGGUGAUAGGCCGCCCUGGAGCUGGGCCACGGUCCAGACUCCUACGGUAGGCAGCAGUAGGGAAUCUUCCGCAAUGGGCGAAAGCCUGACGCAGCGAGGCCGCGUGAGUGAUGAAGGUCUUCGGAUCGUAAAACUCUGUUAUGAGGGAAGAACAUAUGUGUAAGUAACUGUGCAGAUCUUGACGGUACCUAAUCAGAAAGCCACGGCUAACUACGUG
rnacentral:rRNA from 1 species